rnacentral:rRNA from 1 species
AGCGACACUGUGUGUUGUUGGGUAGGGGAGCGUUCUGUAAGCCUGUGAAGGUGUCUGUGAGGAUGCUGGAGGUAUCAGAAGUGCGAAUGCUGACAUAAGUAACGAUAAAGCGGGUGAAAAGCCCGCUCGCCGGAAGACCAAGGGUUCCUGUCCAACGUUAAUCGGGGCAGGGUGAGUCGACCCCUAAGGCGAGGCCGAAAGGCGUAGUCGAUGGGAAACAGGUUAAUAUUCCUGUACUUGGUGUUACUGCGAAGGGGGGACGGAGAAGGCUAUGUUGGCCGGGCGACGGUUGUCCCGGUUUAAGCGUGUAGGCUGGUUUUCCAGGCAAAUCCGGAAAAUCAAGGCUGAGGCGUGAUGACGAGGCACUACGGUGCUGAAGCAACAAAUGCCCUGCUUCCAGGAAAAGCCUCUAAGCAUCAGGUAACAUCAAAUCGUACCCCAAACCGACACAGGUGGUCAGGUAGAGAAUACCAAGGCGCUUGAGAGAACUCGGGUGAAGGAACUAGGCAAAAUGGUGCCGUAACUUCGGGAGAAGGCACGCUGAUAUGUAGGUGAAGUCCCUCGCGGAUGGAGCUGAAAUCAGUCGAAGAUACCAGCUGGCUGCAACUGUUUAUUAAAAACACAGCACUGUGCAAACACGAAAGUGGACGUAUACGGUGUGACGCCUGCCCGGUGCCGGAAGGUUAAUUGAUGGGGUCAGCGCAAGCGAAGCUCUUGAUCGAAGCCCCGGUAAACGGCGGCCGUAACUAUAACGGUCCUAAGGUAGCGAAAUUCCUUGUCGGGUAAGUUCCGACCUGCACGAAUGGCGUAAUGAUGGCCAGGCUGUCUCCACCCGAGACUCAGUGAAAUUGAACUCGCUGUGAAGAUGCAGUGUACCCGCGGCAAGACGGAAAGACCCCGUGAACCUUUACUAUAGCUUGACACUGAACAUUGAGCCUUGAUGUGUAGGAUAGGUGGGAGGCUUUGAAGUGUGGACGCCAGUCUGCAUGGAGCCGACCUUGAAAUACCACCCUUUAAUGUUUGAUGUUCUAACGUGGACCCGUGAUCCGGGUUGCGGACAGUGUCUGGUGGGUAGUUUGACUGGGGCGGUCUCCUCCUAAAGAGUAACGGAGGAGCACGAAGGUUGGCUAAUCCUGGUCGGACAUCAGGAGGUUAGUGCAAUGGCAUAAGCCAGCUUGACUGCGAGCGUGACGGCGCGAGCAGGUGCGAAAGCAGGUCAUAGUGAUCCGGUGGUUCUGAAUGGAAGGGCCAUCGCUCAACGGAUAAAAGGUACUCCGGGGAUAACAGGCUGAUACCGCCCAAGAGUUCAUAUCGACGGCGGUGUUUGGCACCUCGAUGUCGGCUCAUCACAUCCUGGGGCUGAAGUAGGUCCCAAGGGUAUGGCUGUUCGCCAUUUAAAGUGGUACGCGAGCUGGGUUUAGAACGUCGUGAGACAGUUCGGUCCCUAUCUGCCGUGGGCGCUGGAGAACUGAGGGGGGCUGCUCCUAGUACGAGAGGACCGGAGUGGACGCAUCACUGGUGUUCGGGUUGUCAUGCCAAUGGCACUGCCCGGUAGCUAAAUGCGGAAGAGAUAAGUGCUGAAAGCAUCUAAGCACGAAACUUGCCCCGAGAUGAGUUCUCCCUGACCCUUUAAGGGUCCUGAAGGAACGUUGAAGACGACGACGUUGAUAGGCCGGGUGUGUAAGCGCAGCGAUGCGUUGAGCUAACCGGUACUAAUGAACCGUGAGGCUUAACCU